UCAAUAUAAAUUGAUUAAUAUAUAUUUAUUAAAAAUUUUUUUUAUGUUAGUUUAAUUAUUAAAAAUAAUUAUAAUUUAAAAAGUUUUAGUAUUUUAUAAAGAAAAAAUAAUAUUUAUAAUAGUUUAUUUGUAUUGUAAAAGAAUAUUGAAAUAAUUUGAAAAAUUUUUAUUUGAAAAGAAAAUUUAAUUUAUUGUACCUUGUGUAUCAGGGUUUAUUAACUAAAAAUUAUUUAAUUAUAUUAAUUAUCUCGAUUUUGAAAGAGUUAAUAAAUUAUAAAAAUUAAUGUGAAAAAAUUAUUUUAAAUAAUUUAUUAGAAAUGAAAUGUUAUUCGUUUUCAAAGGUAUCUAGUUUUUAAAGAAAUAAAUUUAAUUUAGUAAUUUGAGUAUGUUUUUUAUUAAUAAAAAUGAUAUAAAUAAUUAAUAAUAAUUUAUGGGAUAAGCUAUAAAUUAGAUUUUUAAAAUUUAAUAAAUGUAUUAAAAAAUAUAUGCUUAGAAUUAGCAGUUAUUAAUAAUUAUGUUAUAAUUUAUUUUAUAAUCUAUAAUAUUUAUUAAAAAUUUAAAUAUUAUAUUUAAAUAUUAAUUUUAAUUUUAAAAAUUAAGUAGUAAUGAUAAAAUUAGUAUAAAAAUUUAUAAAAUUAUAAAUAGAUAAUAGGUUUAUUUAAAGAAUUCGGCAAAUUAAUCAAUAUUCGCCUGUUUAACAAAAACAUGUCUUUUUGAAUUUAAUUUAAAGUCUAACCUGCCCACUGAAAUUUAAAUGGCCGCAGUAUAUUAACUGUGCAAAGGUAGCAUAAUCAUUAGUCUUUUAAUUGAAGGCUUGUAUGAAUGGUUGAACGAAAUAUUAACUGUUUCAAAUAAAAUUAAUUAAAAUUUUAUCUUUUAGUCAAAAAGCUAAAAUAUUUUUAAAAGACGAGAAGACCCUAUAGAUCUUAAUAAUUAAAUUAUUUUAUUUAUUUAGGAAAAUUAAAAUUUAAUAAGGUAUAUUAUUUUAUUGGGGUGAUAGUAAGAUUAAAUUAACUCUUAUAUUAAAUUUAACAUUAAUUAAUGAAUAAUUGAUCCAUUUUUAAUGAUUAAUAAAUUAAGUUACCUUAGGGAUAACAGCGUAAUUUUUUUAGAGAGUUCAUAUCGAUAAAAAAGAUUGCGACCUCGAUGUUGGAUUAAGAGAUAUGAUUGGGUGUAGUAGUUCAAUUAAUAAGUCUGUUCGACUUUUAAAUUCUUACAUGAUCUGAGUUCAAACCGGCGUAAGCCAGGUUGGUUUCUAUCUUUAGAAAAAUCAAAUAUUUUAGUACGAAAGGACCAAAUAUUUAAAAUAUUUUUUAAUUAGAGAAUAUUAUUAACUAAACUAUUUUGGCAGAUUAGUGCAAUAAAUUUAGAAUUUAUA
rnacentral:rRNA from 1 species